CCUACGGGAGGCUGCAGUGGGGAAUAUUGGACAAUGGGGGCAACCCUGAUCCAGCCAUGCCGCGUGUGUGAAGAAGGCCCUCGGGUUGUAAAGCACUUUCAGUGAGGAAGAACGCCUGGUGGUUAAUACCCAUCAGGAAAGACAUCACUCACAGAAGAAGCACCGGCUAACUCCGUGCCAGCAGCCGCGGUAAUACGGAGGGUGCGAGCGUUAAUCGGAAUUACUGGGCGUAAAGCGCGCGUAGGUGGCUUGAUAAGCCGGUUGUGAAAGCCCCGGGCUCAACCUGGGAACGGCAUCCGGAACUGUCAAGCUAGAGUGCAGGAGAGGAAGGUAGAAUUCCCGGUGUAGCGGUGAAAUGCGUAGAGAUCGGGAGGAAUACCAGUGGCGAAGGCUGCCUUCUGGACUGACACUGACACUGAGGUGCGAAAGCGUGGGUAGCAAACAGGAUUAGAUACCCGUGUAGUC
rnacentral:rRNA from 1 species